AUGCUCACUUUGGCAGCACACAGACUACAAUUGGAAUGAUACAGAGAAAGUUAGGAUGAUCCCUCCGCAAGGAUGACACACACAUUCAUGAAGUGUUCUAUGUUUUU
ensembl:snRNA U6 U6 spliceosomal RNA